GACGUAGGGGGCGAGCGUUGUCCGGAUUUAUUGGGCGUAAAGCGUGCGUAGGCGGCUGCGCAAGUCGGGUGUGAAACCCCGGGGCUCAACCCCGGAACUGCAUCCGAUACUGCGUGGCUAGAGGUAGGUAGGGGAGAUCGGAAUUCCUGGUGUAGCGGUGAAAUGCGCAGAUAUCAGGAGGAACACCGGUGGCGAAGGCGGCUCUCUGGGCCCUACCUGACGCUGAGACGCGAAAGCGUGGGGAGCGAACCGG
rnacentral:rRNA from 1 species